GGCCAUCUUCUGUUCGUAUACUUGAGGCAUUGUAUGUUGAUCCUGCAUCUGGUGUAUCCCUUGAUAAGGAGAAGAUCACUAAAGCAGUGAAACCAGUGGUAAGCACAUCAUCAGCACUAGCAAAGUUAACCAAGUCAAGUACUUCUGGGGGUCCCUUGAAGCAGCAGCCAGGGGAGAAAAAAGAAACUCCUCAGGAGAGACUUAAAAGGAUCAUGAGCAAACAGC
rnacentral:misc_RNA from 1 species